rnacentral:hammerhead_ribozyme from 1 species
GCACUGCUGAGGAGUCCCACAAUAGGACGAAAGGGCAGUCUAGUGC